rnacentral:misc_RNA from 1 species
GAUGAAGAACGCAGCGAAAUGCGAUAAGUAAUGUGAAUUGCAGAAUUCAGUGAAUCAUCGAAUCUUUGAACGCACAUUGCGCCCUCUGGUAUUCCGGGGGGCAUGCCUGUUCGAGCGUCAUUAUAACCACUCAAGCUCUCGCUUGGUAUUGGGGUUCGCGGUUUCGCGGCCCCUAAAAUCAGUGGCGGUGCCUGUCGGCUCUACGCGUAGUAAUACUUCUCGCGAUUGAGUUCGAUAGGUCUACUUGCCAGUAACCCCCAAUUUUUACAGGUUGACCUCGGAUCAGGUAGGGAUACCCGCUGAACUUAAGCAUAUCAUAAGCGGAGGA